rnacentral:lncRNA from 10 species
GUAAUCGAUCCACGGAAGGGGGAAUUGCGGCUUGGGGUCGCUCUGCUGGUUCGCUAGGCUCCUCUCUCAGUGUCGUCGUUUUCUUAGAUUUCUUUCAUCUUUUUCUGCCAGGCGACCUAAGUCUUCUCCGAAGGAUAAUUGGCCCAUCUCAGAAGCAAUGGAUAUCAAUCUGGGAAUUAAAUUAGCCGGGCGUGGGGGCGCGCGCCUGUAGUCCCAGCUGGUUGGAAGGCUAAGGCCGGAGAAUCGCUUGAACUCGGGAGGCAGAGGCUGCAAGUGAGCUGAGAUCGCGCCACUGCACUCCAGCCUGGGCGACAGAGCGAGACUCCGUCUCCAGAAAAAAUAAAAUAAAAAUUUAAAAUCUGGGAAUUAUUUGAGAGGAAAGCAAUUGUGAAGAUAAGAAACUUCAGGUCACUGCAAACAACAGCAACAAAAAUGUUAGCUCAGUGUGAUGAGAUCAACUAACCCAGGGGUUUAACUAAAUUAGUGCAUAUUUAGAUGUCUAAUAUGAAAGAUAAUUUAUUUGAAUAAGGGAAAUCUUAGGUUUUGCAUAGUUACCAUCCCAUAGUUUACUGAAGAAUCUACACUUUUUUUUUAAUCUACUCAGCAUCCCUUCCUUUGGGAAACUACCUGCUUGUCUCUGCUCCCUGUAUUCUAAUGAGCUGCAAGCACAGAACCCAGACCGCAAAGGCGGAAGCAAACACUAGGUCAGUCAGAUUCUCCUGGGACCUGGAAUCUUGGCUGGAGACCCACCGAAUAGAAAGUAACUGGAAACGAGUGCUCUUAAGAGCGGGUUUAUCAAUGCAUCACAUUGAGCUCCCCCAGAGCUGCUGG